CAGCCGCCGCGGUAAUACCGGCGGCCCGAGUGGCGGUCACUCUUAUUGGGCUUAAAGCGUCCGUAGCCGGGUUGGGAAGUCCUCCGGGAAAUCUGGCCGCUUAACGGUCAGAAUGCCGGAGGAUACUCCCAGCCUAGGGAGCGGGAGAGGCCGAGGGUAUUCCCGGAGUAGGGGUGAAAUCCUAUAAUCCCGGGAGGACCACCUGUGGCGCAGGCGCUCGGCUGGAACGCGUCCGACGGUGAGGGACGAAGGCCAGGGGAGCAAACCGGAUUAGAUACCCGGGUAGUCCUGGCUGUAAACGAUGCGGACUUUGUGUCGGACAAGCUAUGAGCUUGUCCGGUGCCGGAGGGAAACCGUUAAGUCCGCCGCCUGGGGAGUACGGCCGCAAGGCUGAAACUUAAAGGAAUUGGCGGG
rnacentral:rRNA from 1 species